UAAGGAUAGCAGAACACAGAUAGAAGGAGUCUCGGCUCCUUGGAGGGGAUCACCCGGGAGCCAGUCCUUGACUAUUUGCAUCAGAACUGCUUUUGUACAAGAGAAAAGAUAAAUCGUGCUCCUGCUGGGGCUGCCUGGGCUUGGCUCCAGGCUGCGGGUCGAGUUGGGUCUGUGCCAUGUGCUCCUCAUCCCCUGUGGACCAGAAGAUGUGCUUUUCUCAUCUCAGAUAACAGGAGGACACAAGACUGAACCACAAAAGCACAUUUAGAGCCUCUGCUCACCUCAUGCCCACCCACCUCCCAGUGGUCAAUGCAAGUGUCUUGACUAAGUUCAACAACAACGCCAUAAGGAGAUAAUCUCCAGCUGAUCUAUUGAGAAGCAUUGCAAACCCAAGAGGUGUGCCCAGCAGGAAAGCAGACAGAGCAAGUACUCAGUAUGGAAGCUGAGAAGGCGGCUCCUCCUUGCACUUCAGCCCUCCUCUACAGUGGCCCAUUUGACUUCAGGCAUCUUGCUUAACAGGGGACUUUGAUAAAGGGUAGCACAUCCACAGGGAAAGCAAGAUAACUCACCACCCUUUCUAACAAGAAGGUCAAAGGAAUAGGGGAUCUUGAGGGAGGAGAGAGUCACAAUGCCAAACAUUUCCCAGAGUGGUGUUGAAAAGAGAGACCGCCAUUUUGGGAAUGUUGUACCCAAUGUUGGGUCCAACGCUAGAGACCGUUGCACACUAAUGGCAGG